rnacentral:rRNA from 1 species
UGCGAAUGGCUCAUUAAAUCAGUUAUCGUUUAUUUGAUUGUACUUUACUACAUGGAUACCUGUGGUAAUUCUAGAGCUAAUACAUGCGAAAAAUCCCGACUUCUGGAAGGGAUGUAUUUAUUAGAUUAAAAACCAAUGCGAGUCUUCGGGCUCGUUUUCUUGGUGAUUCAUGAUAACUUUUCGAAUCGCAUGGCCUAGCGCCGGCGAUAUUUCAUUCAAAUUUCUGCCCUAUCAACUGUCGAUGGUAAGGUAGUGGCUUACCAUGGUUAUAACGGGUGACGGAGAAUUAGGGUUCGAUUCC